AUUUUAUUAGUAUAUCCAGUACAAUUAAUUUCCAAUUAAUUAGAUUUUUAAAAAAUAAAAUA
rnacentral:tRNA from 1 species